AACUUUCAACAACGGAUCUCUUGGCUCUCGCAUCGAUGAAGAACGCAGCGAAAUGCGAUAAGUAAUGUGAAUUGCAGAAUUCAGUGAAUCAUCGAAUCUUU
rnacentral:rRNA from 12 species